rnacentral:rRNA from 1 species
UACGCAACCUUCCUUUGAGCGGGGAAUAGCCCAGAGAAAUUUGGAUUAAUACCCCAUAAUAUAUUGGAGCGGCAUUGCUCUAUUAUUAAAGAUUUAUCACUCAAAGAUGGGCGUGCGCCUGAUUAGGUAGUUGGCGGGGUAACGGCCCACCAAGCCUACGAUCAGUAGCUGAUGUGAGAGCAUGAUCAGCCACACGGGCACUGAGACACGGGCCCGACUCCUACGGGAGGCAGCAGUAAGGAAUAUUGGUCAAUGGACGAAAGUCUGAACCAGCCAUGCCGCGUGGAGGAUGAAGGUCCUCUGGAUUGUAAACUUCUUUUAUAGGGGACGAAAAAAGGAAAUUCUUUUCCGUCUGACGGUACCCUAUGAAUAAGCACCGGCUAACUCCGUGCCAGCAGUCGCGGUAAUACGGAGGGUGCAAGCGUUAUCCGGAUUCACUGGGUUUAAAGGGUGCGUAGGCGGGCAGGUAAGUCAGUGGUGAAAUCUCCAAGCUUAACUUGGAAACUGCCGUUGAUACUAUCUGUCUUGAAUACUGUGGAGGUGAGCGGAAUAUGUCAUGUAGCGGUGAAAUGCUUAGAUAUGACAUAGAACACCAAUUGCGAAGGCAGCUCACUACACAGCCAUUGACGCUGAGGCACGAAAGCGUGGGGAUCAAACAGGAUUAGCUACCCUGGUAGUC